UAUGAACCUGAAAACAGAUAAGACUACAGUCUUAAUCAACAUUUUGUGGGUAGUUUAAAAAAAAUACUUAUCAAUUAUUGCGUGAAUAUCAUGGUGGAACAUUAGCAGUGAAAGUAUUUAUAAGAAAGUCUGUAUAAAAAGUUAAAAUGGACUGGAAAAGUGCAAAAUUUCUUUUAGCGUCCACAGCUACGGUUGUUAUUGCUUCGCAAGUGGCAAAAAAGUUGUGUAAAUACUUAUUUAAUUUUAAAAAAAGUUCACAACCAGAGGUUGCUAGCGACGAAGCAUGUAGUGAUAUGGUGAACAUAAGAAAUCGUGAAAUAAAUGACGUGAUAUUAUUUUCGGACGAUGUAAUUCGUCACACUAUAAAAGUCCAGCCUAAUAAAGACGUUACUAUAUGUGAAAGUAGAGAGUUAAAUUGCUUCAAAUUAAUAAAGUACAUCAAAUCAGCGCGUGAAACAUUGGAUGUGUGUAUGUAUCUGAUAACCAGUUCUGAAAUUGCUGAACAAUUGAUAAGGUUGGGACAAAGACAAGUUUUGAUACGAAUUGUUGUUGAUAGUGAUAUGGCUUUCACUGCACCAUCUCAAAUUAAGAAGCUAAAGGAAUACAGUUUUAUUCAGGUGCAGACCAAUAAAAAAUCAAUCCUGAUGCAUCAUAAAUUCUGUAUAGUAGAUGGUCCGAAAGCUGUCAAGCGGAAAAACAUACUAAAAGCUUACGCGGAAAAAUUGAAUAUUCAUGCACAGUUUACAAAGCAUAUUGCACAGCAAACGAAAAUAAGACCAUAUAAAGGUUUUGUUAUGUCUGGAUCAUUAAACUGGUCUACCCAAGCAAUGGUUUCGAACCACGAGAGCGUUAUUGUAACUUCACAUCCCAACAUCGUUAACAAAUUUGAAAAAGAGUUCGAAAGCUUAUGGGUGGAGGACGAACCAGCUUUUCUCUCAACGCUAUGACAAAUAAUAUUGAGACAACUCGAAGUAGACAAGUAUAAAAAUUAAGUUUCACAGUUAUAUUUUACGUUAAAUGCACCAAUGAUGCAACACCACAUGUGCAAGUGUUUCAGUGCAAGCAAUUCUCAUUGUGUGCAUCUACAUAAAAUACACAAAAACGACAAUUUUAAAACGUGAAACAAGUACAUUCAGUGUGUGAAGUUGCUGGCAUAUUAUUUUGCUGAAAAAAUUGUGUUUUGAAAAUAGUGCGCUUUUUGGAUGCAGUGUUUGUUCAUAGAUGGCGUUGUUAUCAUUGCUGAGCUAGUGAGGAAGCUGUUCUGCUACUCGCUACUAGAUGGCGCUGGUCCAGCGGGUUCAGCAGCCGAUAAUAUAAUUGAUAACGUCAGACCUUAGCUGCAAUCUCACCUGGUGGUUUGGCUUUACCGUAAAUACUACGUAAGCUACCAGUCACCACUUUCAGCAAUGAUAACGAAUGCGUCUGAUGCAGACUUUGCCUGUAUUCCAUUAGCUUUAUUUCCACCGUGUUAUAAAACCCGUUGUGCUCAAUGUUAGACCUAAAUUUUCAUAUAUCUGUUUAUUGUUGUCAACCUAUCACGCGAGGAAUACUAUGAAAUUUGCAGAAAAGACUAAUCACUAGGACAUUUCAAUUAUUUAUUUACCUUAAACUACGUGAUAGUGUUUCUCUGCAAUUUCGUGCAUUCCUAGGAGUAGUAUUUUGUAUUUGUAGCAUUGAGUACACGAGGUUAAUAUCUUUUGUUAACGAUAUCUUAAAUCAUGAUAAGGCCUCGGGAGGAAAAAGUAAGAAUGCCUCUUUAUUUUCUAAGUUCGUUGACUUGUCACUUUGAUCUUCUCAACAUUUUUACUUUUCCCUUCGAGUCCCGCAAAUCACGCAGUUAGUAUUAAUGUUUAAUAUGUUAAGUAGGAGUAUUUAUGUUAUCGAUGUUGUUUUGUUUUUGAAUAUUGACUAACAAACACUAAACAUUUCUAAA